GAUGAACGCUAGCGGCAGGCCUAACACAUGCAAGUCGAGGGAGAAGCCCUUUCGGGGGCAGAAACCGGCGCACGGGUGCGUAACGCGUAUGCAACCUACCUUUCACAGGGGGAUAGCCCGAAGAAAUUUGGAUUAAUACCCCAUAAUAUUGUUGGAUGGCAUCAUUUGGCAAUUAAAACUGCGGUGGUGAAAGAUGGGCAUGCGUCCUAUUAGCUAGUUGGAGUGGUAACGGCACCCCAAGGCUACGAUAGGUAGGGGUCCUGAGAGGGAGAUCCCCCACACUGGUACUGAGACAGGGACCAGACUCCUACGGGAGGCAGCAGUGAGGAAUAUUGGUCAAUGGUCGGAAGACUGAACCAGCCAUGCCGCGUGCAGGAAGAAUGCCUUAUGGGUUGUAAACUGCUUUUAGAUGGGAAGAAUAAGGCGUACGUGUACGUUGAUGACGGUACCAUAUGAAUAAGCAUCGGCUAACUCCGUG
rnacentral:rRNA from 1 species